rnacentral:lncRNA from 1 species
CUAAGGUAGAGAUUGUGAGCUCAGAUGUGGUGCUUCCAAGCCUUGGGAAUAAAUGAAGAAAGGCCAAGGGGUGAAGGAAGCAUCAGAAGCAUCAAUCAGUAGUCAAGCUGGCUCGAGCUCUGAGAGAGCUGGCUCAGACAGUAGAUAGAGAGCUAUAUUUUUGGCACCAAUGGAUGACACAGCUACCGAACUAGCUUGACUGUAGGUUGAGCUAGCUUGGAUCC